rnacentral:misc_RNA from 1 species
GGGAAAUUAAACAAUUCGAUAAUGUUAAUAAUAAUCAUCAUCAUCUUUAAAUACAAGAAGAAACCCCAAUGAUUAGAAAAUAUAAACCGUUCAAUCUAGCAAGAUUACAUUUUCAGCAGGGGAAUGGGGGCGUGUAAACAUAAAAUAUGAACAAAACCAAAAUUUGCAGCCAUUAAAUACUACUAGUGUAUUCUACUACCUACCC